GUUUCCUGCAUUCUAAAACAGAUACCCCUGUGUUUUUAGGGGAUCUAAAACAUCAUAUAAUUUGCAGCUCAUUAGAUCUAAGGAUUUAAGCUUCUACAAAAAGCCCGUAUGCAACACCAUUCCCAUUUUUUUAAAGAGUGUCGGGCAGUCGUCUUCAUCAUGAAACACAAUUCCGAUAUCGAGGAUUUUCUUAUGUCAGACCUCGAUUUGGAAACCAUCACAGCGACCGAACAACGCUCAAAUAUUCGGACAGAGAGAGAAUUUCUUCCACAACCAAACAGUUUGCCCCAAAAUAAUAGCAAUCCAGCUAUUUAUUUAGGGGACUUUGAGCUCCAUACAGCGGCUCUACAGGGAACGCUGCUGCCCACCCCGCUUCAACAAACGCCUCAUCCCCUCAACCACCCGACUCCUACCUCCC